GGGCUCUUGGCACAGGGGCAGCACACAUGCUUUGCAUGCAUGAGGUUGUGGGUUCAAAUCCCACAGUGUCCA
rnacentral:tRNA from 1 species